rnacentral:tRNA from 1 species
UCCGUGGCUCAGGGGCAGAAUAUCUGCCUGGCGUACAGAAGGUCCCAGGGUUCAAUCCCUAGGACUUCCAGCGGAA